ACUACGAUUAGAUACCCUAUUAUUCUAAUUAUUAAGUUAAACUAGAGUAGUAAUAGAUAUGUUCUUGAAACUCAAAGAAUUUGGCAGUAUUUUAGUCCUUUCAGAGGAACUUGUCUCUUAAUCGAUAAUCCGCGUUUUACUUAACUUAGCUUUGUAUCCAACUUAUAUAUCGCCGUCAAAAGAUCAUACCAUUAGGUUAUGUUCAAGAAUCUUGAAGAAGAAGUAUGUCAGGUCAAGGUGUAGUUUAUGGCUAAGGGAAGAUGAGUUACAAUAAUUAUAAUUACACGGACCAAAAUUGCAAGAUGGAGGAGAAGGUGGAUUUGAGUGUAACUAAAGAAAGAUAAAUUUAUUGAAAUAGGCUCUAAAAUAUACACACAUCGCCCGUCGCUCUU
rnacentral:rRNA from 1 species